rnacentral:misc_RNA from 1 species
AAUUGUACAAGAACUAUGGAACCUCAAUGGCGGGUCUCAAGGCUAUUGGCUAUGAUUUUGACAACGAUGAAUAUCACAGCUUUGUUCAUGGAAGAUUACCUUAUGAGAAGCUGAAGCCUGACCAUGUUCUAAGGAGUCUUCUGCUUAGCUUGCCUGUCCGUAAAGUUAUAUUCUCAAAUGCUGAUAAAGCCCAUGUGGCUAAAACUCUAAGCAAGCUUGGAUUGGAGGACUGUUUUGAGAGGAUUAUAUGCUUCGAGACCCUUAAUCCCAGUGGCAAAACCAGUACUAGUUUUGAUGAUAAAAAUGAGCUUCAACUUGGAAGUGAAAUGCUUGAAAUCUCUGAUCAUUCUUGUCAAUCUGAUAUUGGUUCAAUACUUCCUAAAACUCCAAUCGUCUGCAAACCAUUUGAAAAUGCAUUUGAACAGGCCUUUAAAUUGGCUAACAUCAAACCUCAAAGAACAAUAUUCUUUGAUGAUAGCAUCCGGAACAUACAGACAGGAAAGCAAAUGGGACUCAGGACUGUGUUGGUGGGCAAAUCGAAUCGAGUUUCGGGGGCUGAUUAUGUUCUUGACAGCAUCCACAAUAUGAAGGAAGCACUGCCAGAACUCUGGGAAGCAAAUAGCAAGAAGUCAGAAACUACAAAAUAUAUAGCAAGUGUUUCAAUUGAAACAUCUGUGACAGCCUAACUUACCACUGUGUAUCUCAGUUUCUGUAACAUCGAUCAUUUGUGCAGGAAAUUUUUAUCCCUACUGAUGAUCAUCAAUAAAGAUUUUGUUUUUGGGAGUCUUAAUUGAUGAAUUUUCCCAACAAUAUUGGCUCUCGCGCACUCGAUAAAGG